AUGUUGGGCUCUGCACUGUGGGGGCUCCUGGGUGAUGCCAGCGACCAGCACAGGGAAGUGCCCCUCACAUGGAUGGAACGACUGACUCUGACCCAGGACACCUGCGGCAGGGAUAAGAUUCUGCACUCUAGCAUCCUGCCAGCAGACAGUAACUAUGAGGAACCUGGGGCGCCUUUGAAUCCCUAUAGGGAAGUAGCCCCGUGAAUCUGCCCAGAUUCUGCUGGGAUCCCUGGACUCCAGAAAGAUGAAUCUUCUUUCAGAGGUUGCACCAUGC
rnacentral:lncRNA from 1 species